rnacentral:tRNA from 1 species
GGCUCUGUAGCUCAAUUGGAUAGAGCACUUGACUACGGAUCAAGAGGUUUAAGGUUCGAAUCCUUACAGAGUCA